UUACGGCUAUAUCACGUUGAAACACCGGUUCUCGUACGAUCCCUGAAGUUAAGCAACGUCAAGCUUGGUCAGUACCUUGGCGCGUAGCUCCUUGGGAAUUCCAGAUGCUGGAA